CUUGCCUGAGCUGCAGCAGGCCUUGACAUAGUUUCUGCUGUUUAUCAUCUUUGACUUGCGCUCGAAAGUAAUACUUACUGAUAGUAUCGUAAUUUACAUCACUUAUAAAUAGUACAGAUUGUUGCCAAGUAUGUUUUGUAAAUUGUGAUGGCCAACAAUAAUGAGCGGACACUUAAUUUUGUAUGCAUAUCAGAUCUAACUAUACUUGUAUUUUCUAUGCCCUGCAAGUAUACCAAACGAAAGAGCUGCUGUUUAUUUGGCAGUGAUGCUAGUUUUCAUUAGUAUUUAAUGGAUGAUAUGGAUGUAAAAUUCUGUGCAACCUCAUACUAAUUGGAAGCCAAUGAGCCAUCAAUCCAUUACUAUUAUAGAUGGUAAAACAUGUAUACAUAGAUCUGAUGUUAUGUAAAGUUACACGUUGCCUUUUUUCAAUGAACUGUGAUAUUCUAAACCUUAGCAAAUUGGCAAGGUUACAGUAUAAGUUUAUGCUUGAUUGAGUUGGGAACAUUUUGCGCAAAAUAGACGUAAAAACGGACUUUAAAACUCAAGAUUUAUAGUGUAGAGGACUAUAGUUGAAUGCUUGAGUAGGUGAGGGGCUUUUGGACAUUUGUUGCCUUAAUCCUUUCAACCUUAUCCCCACUGCCUAAAUUAGGAUAGGGAGGCUGUGAGGGACUUAAUUAUCUUUCUCGUCUCUCUCUCUAGACUUUGAUCGUGGCUUGGUGGAGAUUGCGGAUUGAGCUCGAAUCGACGUUGACAUUGCGCCGGAAAGCCGUUCGAGCGUACGUGCAUCGUGGUAACGCCGUUGGAGGCCGAGCGAGUGCGGAAUUUUUCACUUCUCUUCUCGCCGUCGUUGGAUUAGCUUUUCAAGGUGGUCGCUAAUAGCACGAAGAUUACCAAGUCGAAUAGAUAAUGAAAUCAAGAACUAUUGAAACACACGCGGUGCUAAAGAAAAAGGUGCAAUCUCAACCCACUCUCUUGGGGAACUGCUUACAUACGAACUGCAACGAAGAUAGUAAUCUCGAUGCUCGAAGUACAUCGUCAUCAGAAGAGUUGUGCACUGAAGUCGGGGGCCGACAAUCCGAAUCAACAUGGCAGUGAUUCGCAAAUUACUUGCAAAAGUACUGAUCUUUGGGACUCACUAGCUAGUUGCUGACUUAAUUGCUUUGGAUAGUUCAUCGGUUUUAGCUUCUCAAUAUUCAAAUAUGUGAAACAAUGAGAGCUGUUUGCAACUUAUGAUCAUAGUCAUAGUGUUGUUCAAUGAUAUGGAGCAUAUAAGUAAGAGUUGGCAAUGAAAUGAGAAAACUUACAUUGGGAUAUGCUA